GCCAAAUGGUAGCACGCCACACUCAUAAGCCGCAGGCCGAGGGUUCACAUCCGGGC
rnacentral:tRNA from 11 species